CCCAGAUUUAACUCUUAGGACAGAAAGAAGGCAUAGCUCCAUCAUGAAGGUUGCCACCAGUUGUUUGGUUUUAGCGGCUUUAAUAGCUGUAGUUGUUAGUCAAGGAUUUCCCAUGGGUGCCAUGGGAAUGGGCGGCGGAAUGUCUCGCAUGAUGUUACCUAUGAUGCUGGGUGGUGGUGGUGGUUCUGAGAUGAGAAGGGCGAUGAUGAUGGCGCACAUGAUGGCUGGUAAUAGAGGAGGAGGAGGAGGAGGACAUGGUGGUGGAGGUUC